UGGCCAAUAUUAAUGACUUCCGGUGCAUGAGUGAGUCACGGAUGAUGAAUGACAUGUGUCUGAAACUCUGAGGCCAA
ensembl:snoRNA